UCAGAUGCGAAAGCGUGGGGAGCAAACAGGAUUAGAUACCCUGGUAGUCCACGCCGUAAACGAUGUCUACUUGGAGGUUGUGGCCUUGAGCCGUGGCUUUCGGAGCUAACGCGUUAAGUAGACCGCCUGGGGAGUACGGUCGCAAGAUUAAAACUCAAAUGAAUUGACGGGGGCCCGCACAAGCGGUGGAGCAUGUGGUUUAAUUCGAUGCAACGCGAAGAACCUUACCUACUCUUGACAUCCAGAGAACUUUCCAGAGAUGGAUUGGUGCCUUCGGGAACUCUGAGACAGGUGCUGCAUGGCUGUCGUCAGCUCGUGUUGUGAAAUGUUGGGUUAAGUCCCGCAACGAGCGCAACCCUUAUCCUUGUUUGCCAGCGAGUCAUGUCGGGAACUCCAGGGAGACUGCCGGUGAUAAACCGGAGGAAGGUAGGGACGACGUCAAGUCAUCAUGGCCCUUACGAGUAGGGCUACACACGUGCUACAAUGGCGCAUACAGAGGGCGGCCAACUUGCGAAAGUGAGCGAAUCCCAAAAAGUGCGUCGUAGUCCGGAUCGGAGUCUGCAACUCGACUCCGUGAAGUCGGAAUCGCUAGCAAUCGUGGAUCAGAAUGCCACGGUGAAUACGUUCCCGGGCCUUGUACACACCGCCCA
rnacentral:rRNA from 1 species